CGGGGUGAGUAACGCGUGAGGAACCUGCCUUUCAGAGGGGGACAACAGUUGGAAACGACUGCUAAUACCGCAUAAUAUAUGUUUGUCGCAUGGCAGAUAUAUUAAAGAUUUAUCGCUGAGAGAUGGCCUCGCGUCUGAUUAGUUAGUUGGUAGGGUAACGGCCUACCAAGGCGACGAUCAGUAGCCGGACUGAGAGGUUGGCCGGCCACAUUGGGACUGAGAUACGGCCCAGACUCCUACGGGAGGCAGCAG
rnacentral:rRNA from 1 species